ensembl:rRNA 5S_rRNA 5S ribosomal RNA
UCCAGCAGGAAGCUCUCUGCAAAUCUUACAAGGUCGCCCACUGAAGAUAAGCAGGGCUGCACUUAGUCAGUACCUGGAUGGGAGACCACGUUAGAAAGCUAGGUUGCUGCCAGAA